GCGGGUGUAGUUCAAUGGUAGAACACCAGCCUUCCAAGCUGGUCGUGAGGGUUCGAUCCCCUUCACCCGCUCCA
rnacentral:tRNA from 1 species